rnacentral:rRNA from 1 species
GAGUCUGACCGAGCACGCCGCGUGAGUGAAGAAGGUUUUCGGAUCGUAAAACUCUGUUGGUAGAGAAGAACGUUGGUGAGAGUGGAAAGCUCAUCAAGUGACGGUAACUACCCAGAAAGGGACGGCUAACUACGUGCCAGCAGCCGCGGUAAUACGUAGGUCCCGAGCGUUGUCCGGAUUUAUUGGGCGUAAAGCGAGCGCAGGUGGUUUAUUAAGUCUGGUGUAAAAGGCAGUGGCUCAACCAUUGUAUGCAUUGGAAACUGGUAGACUUGAGUGCAGGAGAGGAGAGUGGAAUUCCAUGUGUAGCGGUGAAAUGCGUAGAUAUAUGGAGGAACACCGGUGGCGAAAGCGGCUCUCUGGCCUGUAACUGACCUGAGGCUCGAAAGCGUGGGGAGAAACAGGAUUAGAUACCCUGGUAGCCACGCCGUCACGAU